rnacentral:rRNA from 1 species
CUACGUGCCAGCAGCCGCGGUAAUACGUAGGGUGCAAGCGUUAAUCGGAAUUACUGGGCGUAAAGCGUGCGCAGGCGGUUUGUUAAGACCGAUGUGAAAUCCCCGGGCUCAACCUGGGAACUGCAUUGGUGACUGGCAAGCUAGAGUAUGGCAGAGGGGGGUAGAAUUCCACGUGUAGCAGUGAAAUGCGUAGAGAUGUGGAGGAAUACCGAUGGCGAAGGCAGCCCCCUGGGCCAAUACUGACGCUCAUGCACGAAAGCGUGGGGAGCAAACAGGAUUAGAUACCCUGGUAGUCCACGCCCUAAACGAUGUCAACUAGUUGUUGGGGAUUCAUUUCCUUAGUAACGUAGCUAACGCGUGAAGUUGACCGCCUGGGGAGUACGGUCGCAAGAUUAAAACUCAAAUGAAUUGACGGGGGCCCGCACAAGCGGUGGAGCAUGUGGUUUAAUUCGAUGCAACGCGAAGAACCUUACCUACUCU